AUUGAACGCUGGCGGCAUGCCUUACACAUGCAAGUCGAACGGCAGCACGGGAGCAAUCCUGGUGGCGAGUGGCGAACGGGUGAGUAAUAUAUCGGAACGUGCCCAGUCGUGGGGGAUAACGUAGCGAAAGCUACGCUAAUACCGCAUACGAUCUAUGAAUGAAAGCGGGGGAUCGCAAGACCUCGCGCGAUUGGAGCGGCCGAUAUCAGAUUAGGUAGUUGGUGGGGUAAAGGCUCACCAAGCCGACGAUCUGUAGCUGGUCUGAGAGGACGACCAGCCACACUGGGACUGAGACACGGCCCAGACUCCUACGGGAGGCAGCAGUGGGGAAUUUUGGACAAUGGGCGCAAGCCUGAUCCAGCAAUGCCGCGUGCAGGAUGAAGGCCUUCGGGUUGUAAACUGCUUUUGUACGGAGCGAAAAGGCUUCCACUAAUACUGGGGGCUCAUGACGGUACCGUAAGAAUAAGCACCGGCUAACUACGUGCCAGCCGCCGCCGUAA
rnacentral:rRNA from 1 species